rnacentral:rRNA from 1 species
GACUUAAGCAUAUCAAUAAGCGGAGGAAAAGAAACCAACAGGGAUUGCCCUAGUAACGGCGAGUGAAGCGGCAACAGCUCAAAUUUGAAAUCUGGCUUCGGCCCGAGUUGUAAUUUGCAGAGGAAGCUUUAGGCGCGGCACCUUCUGAGUGCCCUGGAACGGGACGCCAUAGAGGGUGAGAGCCCCGUAUAGUUGGAUGCCUAGCCUGUGUAAAGCUCCUUCGACGAGUCGAGUAGUUUGGGAAUGCUGCUCAAAAUGGGAGGUAAAUUUCUUCUAAAGCUAAAUACCGGCCAGAGACCGAUAGCGCACAAGUAGAGUGAUCGAAAGAUGAAAAGCACUUUGAAAAGAGGGUUAAAUAGCACGUGAAAUUGUUGAAAGGGAAGCGCUUGUGACCAGACUUGCGCCGGGUUGAUCAUCCGGUGUUCUCACCGGUGCACUCUGCCCGGCUCAGGCCAGCAUCGGUUCUCGCGGGGGGAUAAAGGUCCGGGGAAUGUAGCUCCUCCGGGAGUGUUAUAGCCCCGGGCGUAAUACCCUCGCGGGGACCGAGGAUCGCGCUUCGGCAAGGAUGCUGGCGUAAUGGUCAUCAGCGACCCGUCUUGAAACACGGACCAAGGAGUCAAGGUUUUGCGCGAGUGUUUGGGUGUAAAACCCGCACGCGUAAUGAAAGUGAACGUAGGUGAGAGCUUCGGCGCAUCAUCGACCGAUCCUGAUGUUCUCGGAUGGAUUUGAGUAGGAGCGUAAAGCCUUGGACCCGAAAGAUGGUGAACUAUGCUUGGAUAGGGUGAAGCCAGAGGAAACUCUGGUGGAGGCUCGCAGCGGUUCUGACGUGCAAAUCGAUCGUCAAAUCUGAGCAUGGGGGCGAAAGACUAAUCGAACCAUCUAGUAGCUGGUUACCGCCGAAGUUU